UCGGGCGUGGCCAAGCGGUAAGGCAUCGGUCUUUGGAACCGACAUUCCCUGGUUCGAAUCCAGGCGCCCGAGCCA
rnacentral:tRNA from 1 species